rnacentral:lncRNA from 1 species
CCCACGCAGCCUCGGUUACCCUCUCCGCCACCCGCUGGACCUCGGCUUCCAGGGCCCUGCCUCGGUUCGCCCGCCCUCAACCCCGCACUUGCUCUCGGCUUCCGCUCUUUCUGCCCAGCUCGACUCUCCCGCCCGCCCUCACCCCAGGUGCUACCCUCCCUUCGCCCUCUCUGCCCCGCGACCUCCCGCGCUUGGCGCCAGUGCCACCGCUUUUCGGUCCAGCUCGGAUCCUCCCGCCCGGCCUCGGCUCUUCCGCCGAGCCUCGGCUUCCCCCGCCCAGCUUCGGCUUCCUUCGCGCCUGGCUUCGGCUCUUUCCGCCCAGCUUCGGCUUCCCCAUCCGUCCUCGCCUGGCGUCCUACCAUGGCGCUGCCUGUCCCUCUCUGUCUCCGACCUGAAACUUCCCCUCCCUCCGUCCUGGCCAUGGCUCGGCUUCUCCGCCGCCCUUCCCGCUGCUUUUCGGCCCUGCUCGGCUCCUCCCGCCUGGCCUCGGCUCCUCCCAUUGGCCUUGGCUUUUCCGGUUCCUCUCGGCCGACCUCGGCUCCCACCACCCGUCUUUGGCUCCCCUCGCCCAGCCUUGGCUUCUCCGCCGCUCCUCGGCUCAGUUCGUUCAGUUCGGCUUUCUCCGCCCGGCUUCAGUUUUCUCCGAUUUCGCCGCUUCAGUUCGGCUCUUUCCGCGUCUCCCCAUGGCACCCUGGGCUCGGCGUGGCUCUGGGUCUGGUUGGGUCCUUGUCUUAGUCCGGGGGAGUUGCACUAAUUGAGUUCCCGUCAUUAUGAUAUGGAGGUGCCAGUGUCUCCACAUCCUGGUCAAUCUGUUAUCUUUUUAAAAGAAAAAAAUUCCUGAUCAAUGAAAAAGGGAAUCUCAAUGUAUUACUUCCCAUUUUUCUUAGGAGAGCCACUUGUAUUUCUGUGAACUGUUGUUAGCAUUUGCUCCUUUCUCUAAUUAACUCUUGGUCUUUCUCUUACUGCUUCGUAGGAGUUCUUGAAUACUAACAAAUUAUUAUGAGCAAUGUUCAAGCAUGGAAAUAAUUUUUGAAAAAAUGUACAGGAACAUUCAUCAGUAACAUUUUACUAUACUUUGUCAUAUACAUCUCUGUAUCAUCCAUCAAUUCAUCUUUUUAAAUGCAUUUUGAAGUAGGUUGCAGAUAGCUUACAUAUCAUUAAUUAGAGUUCAAAAUUUGGGGCUGGAAGAUCUAAGGUGGCUCAUCCCCUGGCUAGCAAUGUGGUGCUGGUGAGUUGGUUACUGGUUACGGGGCUGCUUGAGUCUCCUCAUGGCAUGGCGGAUGGCUUCUCCUAGAGAAAGAGCAAUAGAAGAGACCAAGGAGGAAGCUUCAGUGUGUCUUAUGACCUAGCCUCAGAUGUCACAUGCAACAGUGCUGUAUUGAUCAUAUGGGUCGUGUAUGAUUCAAUAUUGGAGGUGGGGUACACAGGACAGGAAUAUCAGGUGGCAAGGGUCUUUGGUGAGCAUUCUGAAGGCUAGUCAACACACCCACCUUUCCUUCAGACCACCUCUUUUCAUCAGCCCGGAAUCUCUUUUUUUGUGCUGGAGUGCCUGAUCUGAUUGUAGCUGUUUGAGGCAUCUGGAAUUCAUGGCCGGGUUUAGAACAACUUGGAAGGUCUCCUUUCCCCCUCUUCUCUUUCUUUUACCCUUCUCCCCUCUCUCUUCCUCUCAGCCUUACCCCCAACUCUAGUCUUUCUUUGCUUCUAGUGAGCGAGCAGGAGAUGCUCUGAGAGUCAACUGGGAAUGCAGCUGAUAAGGGUCUGCUGGGUGCAGGAAAUGUUGGAAGGUUUGCUUGCUGGGCUGUAUCACCUCCUGUAUUAUGGGAGCUUAGAGUAUUUGCCAGCUUGUCAGGACUACCAUCGUCUUCCAUGUUCUGAGACUGGAGUACCCAACAUUCCCCUAGCAGGGGACACUUGGCUUGAUAGGGCUCUAUCAAUCUAUAUUGUGAGGGUAGAGAUACUCAUAUUGCAAGGGGAGGCUGCAGGAGUUGCCUGCUGGGGCUAAGAUUAUUCCUUGUGUUUGGGAUAAAGGAGGGGUCACCGCAGGGGCAGUCAACUCAUGUUGGGGGAGACGGGAUUUGCAUUCUGGGCUCCCCUCCUCGUUUAUGUUAAGGGUGUUGCUUGCUGAUGCUUCUAUUAACUCUUACUUUGGGAUAAUGGGAAGAGAGAUAGUUUUCUGGGGUAUGAGUUUGUCACUUAUGUUGUAGAAUCUGGGGGGCUGCCUGUUGAGAUUCUGACCAUUGCUUGUUUUGGGUGUCAUUGCUGGGGAUACUUAUUUAUAGUCUUGGGAAGACAAGGGAUGCAUGUUGCAGCGGUAGUGGGUAAGAAUGGUGGCAUUUGCUGGAGUUCUUUUUUUUUUUUUUUUUUUUUUUGAGACAGAAUCUUGCUCUGUCUCCCAGGCUUGAGCGCAGUGGUGUGAUCUUGGCUCACUGCAAACUCUGCCUCCCGGGUUCAAGAGAUUCUCCUGCCUCAGUCUCCUGAGUAGCUAGGACUACAGGCACGUGUCACCACGCCCGGCUAAUUUUUGUAUUUUUAGUAGAGACGGUUUCACCAUAUUGGUCAGGCUGGUCUCGAACUCCUGAUCUCGUGAUCCACCCGCCUUGGCCUCCCAAAGUGCUGGGAUUACAGGCGUGAGCCACCAUACCCAGCCUGGAGUUCCUUUCUUGAGUGUGUAGAGGAUUGAGGGUUGAUUGGUUUUUGGAGUUUCCAUCAUUAAUGUAGGAGCGAUACGGGGAAUCACUUGGCGAAGCUUUCAUUGUCUCUGAUGUUGGAGGUAACUGGAGGGCCAGUGCCUGGGGCUUCCAUUUUUUUCUAGUGUUGAAGGGUCAAGAGCAUUUAUCAGAUAGAGGCCUUACUGUGUAUUGUUUGGGGAGAGGAUGGAGGGAUUAUUGGAUGGGGUUCCACUUAUCUCUAGUUGGGGAGGGUCAUAUUCUGGGUCUCCGCUUGCCUGUACUGUUGGUAUAGACUGGGUAGGCCAUUGGGCUUGGAGUCCCCAUUCUUUAGUGUUGAGGGGCAUCUGAAGGGGUCAUUUCAGGGACUUCUGUUAUAGUUUUGGACGUGACUGAGGGGUGCUUGCUGGAGUAGUUUCGCGAUGACGGAGGUCUUCAUGUUUGGACUCCAUCUUUUGUGUUUGUAAGUGAUUGAGGGGUGGAGAUCUGGCAUCCUGUUGCCUCUUGUUUUGAGGGUGACUGGUGGUUACCUGCUAGGGCUUCUGUCAGCUCUACUGCUGUAUGCAGAUUGUGAGAAUCACUUGCUGGGGCUUCCAUAAUCUCUAGUCUUAGGGGGACUGGGAAAUGGCUUGCCAUGCUUUCUAUUAUCUCUAGUUUUAAGGGACCAGUUCAAUGUGAUUUAAAACUCUUUUUAUUUGAAAAAAAAAAAAAAUUAGGGCUGGGCACGUUGGCUCACGCCUAUAAUCCUAACACUUUUGGGAGGCCAAGGCAGAUGGAUCACUUGAGGUCAGGAGUUUGAGACCAGCCUGGUCACCAUGGCGAAACCCCAUCUCUACUAAAAAUACAAAAAUUAGCUGGGCGUGGUGGUGCACACCUGUAGUUGCAGCUACUUGGAGGCUGAGGCAAGAGAAUUGCUUGAACCCAGGAGGCGGAAGUUGCAGUGAGGUGAGUGUGGGCAACAGAGUGAGACUCCGUCUGAAAAAAAAAAAAAGAUUUAGACGUAUAAAAGUGUUAAAACUAUACAGGCUUGAUUUAUACAGUCAAUAUUUAUUUGUAUUUGCUCACAUUUUAUCUUUCCUGAUUAUCCUUAUAUAUUUCUGGAAUUGCUUCCACAUGGAAUAAUUUUCCUCCAGCCCCAAAACUUUCCUUCUUUCUUUCCUUCUCCUUCCUUCCUUCCUUCCUUCCCUCCCUCCCUCCUUCCUUCUUUUUUUUUUUUGAGACAGAGUCUCGCUCCAUCGCCCAGGCUGGAAAGCAACGGUGCGAUCUCAGCUCACUGCAACCUCCACCUCCUGGGUUCAAGCAAUUCUCCUGCCUCAGCCUCCCAAGUAGCUGGGAUUAUAGGCGACCGCCACUACGCCCAGCUAAUUUUUUUUUUUUUUUGUAGUUUUAGCAGAGAUGGGGUUUUGCCAUGUUGGCCAGCCUUGUCUCGAACUCCUGACCUCAGGUGAUCCACCUGCCUCAGCCUCCCAAAAUGCUGGGAUUACAGGUGUGAGCCACCGUGUCUGGCCCAAAACUUUCUUUAGUGUUUCUUGAAGUGCAGUUCUGCUGGUGAUGAACUAUGUUGUUGCUGAAACACCAGGGGUUCAAUCUAGGUCCUGCUGCUCACCACUGCACAGAAAGCCUAUCGCUGAGACAAUGAGUAUUGCCAAGGAAGAAGGCUUUAAUCAGCUGCUGCAGCUGAGGAGGUGGGAGAACAAUCUCAAAUCCAUCUCCCUGACCAACUAAAAUUUGAGGUUUAUAUAGCAGGGAAGAAAUGUUACCAUGUGUGGGAAUACAGGAAUUAGGGAAGGGUAAGGAAGAGGAGUUGGUCAACAGGAAGCAGGUGGUCAGUUAGGCAAUCAUGAUGGGUGAUGGGUCUGAUGUCUCACUGUACAAAUGCAGUAUUCUGGUGCGUUUCAGCUCCUAGAUACUAUCUGGGAGGCCUGAUGGUUGGUUUCCUGAGAAAGGAACUCAGAUAAGAUAAAUGUAACUUUCUUAAGUUUUAAGAUUGGGAAGAUCAAUUUGUUUGUUUAUUCAAGGAAACCAUAAACAUCAGCAAUAUGGGAAAAUUGGGCCAGUUUCACUUUCAGGUAUUUAAAAGAAAAAUCUAUUGGAUUUUGGAUAUCAAUUCUUGUCCUUCACUUGGCGCUAAGUUCAUGUCCCUACAUAAGAUACAAAGGGGGCCGGGCGCGGUGGCUCCCGCCUGUAAUCCUAGCACUUUGGGAGGCCGAGGUGGGCGGAUCACAAGGUCAAGAAUUCAAGACCAGCCUGGCCAACAUAGUGAAACCCCA